UGUGGUGGACCCAGAGAACAUGACAGAACAUCUGCUUCAGGGAACUUCUGGUCUAGGUGGUUAAGUAAAAACCAAGAUAAUAAUUCUUGGAUUGGUGCCUGCCAAGUGCUUUGCACAAAGAAUCUCAUUUAAUUUCCUCAGCUGUGGAAGCCAGGUAGCAUCAUCAGACCCAUUUCCCAGAAGAGGAGCCUGAGACUUAAAAGGCUAAAUAACUUCUAUUAGGAGUGUAGCAAAUAAGUGGUAAGCCUAGGAUUCGAGAUGAUAUUUAAUAAAUAUUUAGGUAACACUAUAUGUUUCACAGAGAGUAACUCCUUUGUUUAAUCUUCGUAACUACAGUAUGAGAAGAUACCAGUAUUAUUUCCCCUUUAUUUAGGGAAAGAGACAGAGACUCGGGCAUUUGCCUGAGGUCACACAGUUAGGGAAUGGUACAGAACUGGUGUUUGAAGCCAGGCAGUCUGGUUCCCAACCCUUUCUGGUAACCCUUUGCUUCUUAAGUCCAGCUAGAUCCAUCAGGGCCCUGAUAGUUACCACUGCACUGAAUGGCUUCUCCAUCCGUGUGCUCUCUUCUAAAGACAAACUAAUAGAGCAUCAGUGACACCAAGAGAGCUGCUAAUUCAACUGAAUGUAUACAGAUUUUGACUUUUUGUGCUCACUCACCCUACUUAACACACCAACACACCAUUCUUUCAGCUGUCGACUAACCUGCACACUUUGCCAUUUGCUUCCUGUGCCUUUAUUGAAAUGUUAACAUUCAUUUGUCCUUUUCCAUUGUGUUAAAGAUAGCCUUUGCUUCCUGUCACAUCUAGAUAAUCUUCAUUCAGGGACAGAUACCAAACAGAUUCAUCACAAUAUAAAGUAAAUAAUGGGGACUCUAAUCCAUUCCACCGACAUAUUUUAAAUGGUAAUUUGAAUAUCUGUUUUGUACUUACUUCUUAUAUGUAAUGUAAUGAUAAUAACUCUGAAUACUGCAGUAGCCAAAAGGUUUCAGUCUGAAUUAGUCAUACUAAGUGGCUGUGACCCUCCUUAAGAGUCAAACAGAUUCUGUUGGGAGGUGGUUUUUUUGGUUGGUUGGUUGGUUUGUGCUUUAAAGAGUUGUGACUACAUUAUGAAGAGGGGUUCCUGGUUGGGAUUUGGAAGGCCGUACGUAGUUCAUUGAUUUGGGGGAUGGCAUAAAAAGGCUUUCUGACUGUGUACUUGCACACUGCAUCUUUUGAGAAUGGAGUGGCUUCUUGCUCAAGUGGGAGGAAUAUUGGACUGAAAAUUAGAUCUCCAUUCAAGUCUCAUUUUUGUCACUGAUGUAUUAUGUGACCUUAAGCAAGUCUCUUAUUUUCUCAGAAGCUCAGCUGCUUUAUAUGCUUAAAGGGUUGCAGUGCAUCAGCACUGCAUCCUUAUUCUGACAUAAAUAAAGGAUAACACUGGGGUGGCACUUAACACAUAUCUUCAAAGCAAACCUAUGAAGUGUAGGUUUUUGUUCAUAUGUUACAGCAGAGAAAACUGAUCCUUAGGUUAAUUAAUAGGCUCAAAUUCAGACACAGCUGGUAAGUGAGGUAGAGCCAGGACCCACAUUUAGGACUGUCCACUUGGGAGAGCUGUACCCUUAACCACUCCGGUGCCCCUUCCAGUGCCAUGGAGCUCUGCACUUUAAUGAUUGAACUCAUUGUCCCUUUUGACCUCAUGCAUCUUCUCGUUGCUGCUGCUUCCCUUUUAUCUCCUAAAAAUGUCAGUCCAUUGCAACCAAGUGACUGAAGGGAGAAAGGGCAGGAGAAAGAUUUCCCUUAGAAAUGCUUCUUACAACAAGUAAUUAUAUACCUAGAGGAUCUACAAAAAACAAAACACUCCAAAAUGUUAGUAUUUAUUUGUGGAUGGCAGGAUUGCAGAAUUCCUCAUUUCUCUUCUCUUUUAGAAAUUUGUUUACUUUUGUCAAAAUAAAUAUUCAUUGUUUGUGUACUAAAAAUUAAUAUAUGAACAUAUACAUCCCUAUAGCAAGCAAAUCACAAAUCACCAAGCAAACUUGGGCUGGCUAACAUCCCUGACAUUAUUUUACUUUGUGGCAAAUUCCUAAGCUAGGCUAAUUUCCCAGGCAAUGGUGGCAUCUAAAAAUACAUGUCCCUUUGUUAAUAUUCCUAACGUUGUACAUUAUCAAUUAUAAACAUUUAUGAAAUGUAUCCUCCUUUAUUUAUUCUUAUUUUGUAUUCUAUUCAGGAUGCCUAGACCUCUUCUCCUCACUCCUGGAUUAUUUACAGUUUCUCAAAUGUCCUUCCUCUUUCUCAUGAUGAUUAACCAUAGACACAAUGCCACCAGACUGCUUUCUCUAAGACACAUCAGGUGGGAAAAAUGCAGUUUUGAGUACAUACAGUAAUUUUUUCCAUUAUCUAUAGAGACUUUCCAAAAUAGUUACAAAAUGAUCUGUUCAUAAUCUGGCUCUCUUACUUUCAUUUCCCUGGACUCUUGCCUUUCUUCCCCAUGUUCAUGCUUUGCUUAGACUCUGGUCUUGUGCUUUGAUUCUUAAUAUUUUUUUCUGAUCCAUGACAGUCUUUUUCUUCUCUUCUGAUUAUCUUCUUUCUAGUGAGAUCUCGUCUUAAAGUCUUCUCCAAUUACUCAUUCUUUUAAAUUUUUCUUUAGUAAUGCAAAUACUUAGAACCUA
rnacentral:lncRNA from 1 species